rnacentral:rRNA from 1 species
GACGAACGCUGGCGGCGUGCCUAAUACAUGCAAGUCGAGCGAAGUUUUUCUGGUGCUUGCACUAGAAAAACUUAGCGGCGAACGGGUGAGUAACACGUAAAGAACCUGCCUCAUAGACUGGGAUAACUAUUGGAAACGAUAGCUAAUACCGGAUAACAGUAUUUCUCGCAUGAGAGAUAUUUAAAAGUUGGUUAUGCUAACACUAUGAGAUGGCUUUGCGGUGCAUUAGCUAGUUGGUGGGGUAAAGGCCCACCAAGGCGACGAUGCAUAGCCGACCUGAGAGGGUGAUCGGCCACACUGGGACUGAGACACGGCCCAGACUCCUACGGGAGGCAGCAGUAGGGAAUCUUCCGCAAUGGGCGAAAGCCUGACGGAGCAACGCCGCGUGAGUGAAGAAGGAUUUCGGUUCGUAAAGCUCUGUUGUUAGGGAAGAAUGGAUAUGUAGUAACUAUACAUGUAAGAGACGGUACCUAACCAGAAAGCCACGGCUAACUACGUG